CAGCUUGUUGGUGAGGUAACGGCUCACCAAGGCUUCGACGGGUAGCCGGCCUGAGAGGGCGACCGGCCACACUGGGACUGAGAUACGGCCCAGACUCCUACGGGAGGCAGCAGUGGGGAAUAUUGCACAAUGGGCGCAAGCCUGAUGCAGCAACGCCGCGUGCGGGAUGACGGCCUUCGGGUUGUAAACCGCUUUCAGUUCCGACGAAGCGCAAGUGACGGUAGGAACAGAAGAAGGACCGGCCAACUACGUGCCAGCAGCCGCGGUGAUACGUAGGGUCCGAGCGUUGUCCGGAAUUAUUGGGCGUAAAGGGCUUGUAGGCGGUUUGUCACGUCGAAAGUGAAAACUCAGGGCUUAACCCUGAGCCUGCUUCCGAUACGGGCAAACUAGAGGGAUGCAGGGGAGAAUGGAAUUCCUGGUGGAGCGGUGGAAUGCGCAGAUAUCAGGAGGAACACCGGUGGCGAAAGCGGUUCUCUGGGCAUUUCCUGACGCUGAGAAGCGAAAGCGUGGGGAGCAAACAGGCUUAGAUACCCUGGUAGUCCACGCCGUAACGGUGGGCACUAGGUGUGGGGAACAUUCC
rnacentral:rRNA from 1 species